rnacentral:piRNA from 1 species
UNGUACUCGAAGACAGUGGCCAUUAUUUG